AUGGAGGGAAGAGUGGAGAGGAGAGGGGGAGAAAGCAUGGAGGGAAGAGCGGAAAGGAGAGGGGGAGAAAGCAUGGAGGGAAGAGCGGAGAGGAGAAGGGGAGAAGGCAUGGAGGGAGAGCGAAGAGGAGAAGGCAUGGAGGGAAGAGCGGAGAGGAGAGGGGGAGAAGGCAUGGAGGGAAGAGCGGAGAGGAGAAGGGGAGAAAGCAUGGAGGGAAGAGCGGAGAGGAGAGGGGGAGAAAGCAUGGAGGGAAGAGCGGAGAGGAGAAGGCAUGGAGGGAAGAGCGGAGAGGAGAAGGGGAGAAAGCAUGGAGGGAAGAGCGAAGAGGAGAAGGCAUGGAGGGAAGAGCGGAGAGGAGAAGGGGAGAAGGCAUGGAGGGAGAGGAGAAGAGGAGAAGGCAUGGAGGGAAGAGAGAAGGGGAGAAGGCAUGGAGGGAAGAGCGGAGAGGAGAAGGGGAGAAGGCAUGGAGGGAAGAGUGGAGAGGAGAAGAGGAGAAGGCAUGGAGGGAAGAGCGGAGAGGAGAAGGGGAGAAGGCAUGGAGGGAAGAGUGGAGAGGAGAAGAGGAGAAGGCAUGGAGGGAAGAGAGAAGGGGAGAAGGCAUGGAGGGAAGAGCGGAGAGGAGAAGGGGAGAAAGCAUGGAGGGAGAGCGGAGAGGAGAAGAGGAGAAGGCAUGGAGGGAAGAGCGGAGAUGAGAAGGCAUGGAGGGAAGAGUGGAGAGGAGAAGGGGAGAAGGCAUGGAGGGAGAGCGGAGAGGAGAAGAGGAGAAGGCAUGGAGGGAAGAGCGGAGAGGAGAAGAGGAGAAGGCAUGGAGGGAAGAGCGGAGGGGAGAAGAGGAGAAGGCAUGGAGGGAAGAGAGAAGGGGAGAAGGCAUGGAGGGAAGAGAGAAGGGGAGAAGGCAUGGAGGGAAGAGAGAAGGGGAGAAGGCAUGGAGGGAAGAGAGAAGGGGAGAAGGCAUGGAGGGAAGAGAGAAAAGGGAUAACAGAUGUAUGGCAUGAGAGAGAGAAGGCAAGACAAAGAGAGCAAAUAGAGGAAGAAAAGAUUAGAGGAAGAAUGGGGAUGAGAGGAAGAGAAGAUUAG
rnacentral:lncRNA from 8 species